CCUACGGGGGGCAGCAGUAGGGAAUAUUGCUCAAUGGGGGAAACCCUGAAGCAGCAACGCCGCGUGGAGGAUGAAGGUUUUCGGAUUGUAAACUCCUUUUGUUAGAGAAGAUAAUGACGGUAUCUAACGAAUAAGCACCGGCUAACUCCGUGCCAGCAGCCGCGGUAUUACGGAGGGUGCAAGCGUUACGCGGAUUAGCUGGGCGUAAAGUGCGCGUAGGCGGGAUAGCAAGUCAGAUGUGAAAUCCUAUGGCUUAACCAUAGAACUGCAUUUGAAACUGGUAUUCUAGAGUAUGGGAGAGGUAGGUGGAAUUCUUGGUGUAGGGGUAAAAUCCGUAGAGAUCAAGAGGAAUACUCAUUGCGAAGGCGAGCGGCUAGAACAUAACUGACGCUGAGGCGCGAAAGCGUGGGGAGCAAACAGGAUUAGAUACCCGAGUAGUC
rnacentral:rRNA from 1 species